CUUUAAGUCUCUGUCACUUUUGUUACCCAUAGAGGUUGUGAACUGUCCAUCCUUGCAGGUUUUUAAGACCCCACUAGACAAAGCCUUGGCUGGGAUGAUUUAGUUGGGGAUGCUCCUUUUUGAACAGGGGAUUAGACUAGGUAACCCACUGAGGUCCUCUCCAUCC